rnacentral:tRNA from 1 species
UUAACUAAAGCUUUUAUUGAAGCACCUUCUUUUUAAGUUGGCGAAGACAUUGUAUAGUCUAGUUGAU